rnacentral:rRNA from 1 species
ACUCCUACGGGAGGCAGCAGUGGGGAAUAUUGCACAAUGGGCGCAAGCCUGAUGCAGCCAUGCCGCGUGUGUGAAGAAGGCCUCGGGUUGUAAAUGCACUUUCAGUUGUGAGGAAGGUGGUGUCGUUAAUAGCGGCAUCAUUUGACGUUAGCAACAGAAGAAGCACCGGCUAACUCCGUGCCAGCAGCCGCGGUAAUACGGAGGGUGCGAGCGUUAAUCGGAAUUACUGGGCGUAAACGCGCAUGCAGGUGGUUUGUUAAGUCAGAUGUG